rnacentral:rRNA from 1 species
UACACAUGCAGUCGAACGAUGAAGGGGAGCUUGCUCCUUGGAUUAGUGGCGAACGGGUGAGUAACACGUGAGUAACCUGCCCUUGACUCUGGGAUAAGCGUUGGAAACGACGUCUAAUACCGGAUAUGACCUGUGACGGCAUCGUCUGCAGGUGGAAAGAAUUUUGGUCAAGGAUGGACUCGCGGCCUAUCAGGUAGUUGGUGAGGUAACGGCUCACCAAGCCGACGACGGGUAGCCGGCCUGAGAGGGUGACCGGCCACACUGGGACUGAGACACGGCCCAGACUCCUACGGGAGGCAGCAGUGGGGAAUAUUGCACAAUGGGCGAAAGCCUGAUGCAGCAACGCCGCGUGAGGGACGACGGCCUUCGGGUUGUAAACCUCUUUUAGUUGGGAAGAAGGGAGCUUGCUCUUGACGGUACCAGCAGAAAAAGCACCGGCUAACUACGUGCCAGCAGCCGCGGUAAUACGUAGGGUGCAAGCGUUGUCCGGAAUUAUUGGGCGUAAAGAGCUCGUAGGCGGUUUGUCGCGUCUGCUGUGAAAUCUGGGGGCUCAACCCCCAGCCUGCAGUGGGUACGGGCAGACUAGAGUGCGGUAGGGGAGAUUGGAAUUCCUGGUGUAGCGGUGGAAUGCGCAGAUAUCAGGAGGAACACCGAUGGCGAAGGCAGAUCUCUGGGCCGUUACUGACGCUGAGGAGCGAAAGCAUGGGGAGCGAACAGAUAU